CAAACGGCCCUCUUUAGGGCCAUUAAAAUCGUAAACCAAACUCGAU
rfam:Anisakis simplex genome assembly, scaffold: ASIM_contig0019712